rnacentral:rRNA from 1 species
ACGUAGGUGGCGAGCGUUGUCCGGAAUUAUUGGGCGUAAAGCGCGCGUAGGCGGGAUAUUAAGUCUAUUCUAAAAGUGCGGGGCUCAACCCCGUGAGGGGAUGGAAACUAAUAUUCUUGAGUACCGGAGAGGAAAGCGGAAUUCCCAGUGUAGCGGUGAAAUGCGUAGAUAUUGGGAGGAACACCAGUGGCGAAGGCGGCUUUCUGGACGGUGUCUGACGCUGAGGCGCGAAAGCCAGGGGAGCGAACGG